GAUCAUUAGAAUGUUAGGCGGAUUUCCUUAGGGGAGUCUGUCAAUCUCUAUUUCUGUGCACUGUUUAAUUUUAGGCGGCCUCUAUUUUAAUUAAUGGUGGGCAUGCCAACCUGGGCGGAUUAUUUUUUCCCUUGGGAGAAAAUGGAUCUGCCCAGAAUUUACUACUAUUCUGACUGAACCUAACAGAAAAUUGUUAAUUUUUAAUAAACAACUUUCAGCAAUGGAUCUCUCGGCUUUCGUAUCGAUGAAGAACGCAGCAAAUCGCGAUAUGUAGUGUGAUCUGCCUAUAGUGAAUCAUCAAAUUUUUGAACGCAUCUUGCACCCUUGGGUAUUCCUGAGGGUACGCCUGUUUCAGUAUCAUUUUAACCUCUCUGCCCAAAAAAUUUAAUUUUUUUGGCUGGGAGAAAUUACUACUGGCCUGGCGAGAGUGGCGGGAAUAUAUUUCCCCCCAAAUUUCUAGGCUUAAAUAUGUUCGGUCAAUUGGGCUGGUAAUUACCUUUUGGUAGAUUUCAUCUGUUAAAAGUAACCCUAUCCAGCCUUUAAUUGCGCCCACCCCUUACAAUCUUGAUCUGAUAAUCAGGCGGGAUUACCC
rnacentral:misc_RNA from 2 species